UACGUAGGGUGCGAGCGUUGUCCGGAAUUAUUGGGCGUAAAGAGCUCGUAGGCGGUGUGUCGCGUCGGCCGUGAAAACCUGCAGCUUAACUGUGGGCUUGCGGUCGAUACGGGCAUCACUGGAGUUCGGCAGGGGAGACUGGAAUUCCUGGUGUAGCGGUGGAAUGCGCAGAUAUCAGGAGGAACACCGGUGGCGAAGGCGGGUCUCUGGGCCGAUACUGACGCUGAGGAGCGAAAGCGUGGGGAGCGAACAGG
rnacentral:rRNA from 1 species